rnacentral:RNase_P_RNA from 1 species
GAGAGUAGGCGUAGGCGGUUGCAGAUCAGUGAAUACUGGUUUGAGGAAAGUCCGGACUCCCCAAAGACCAGACUUGCUGGAUAACGUCCAGUGCGAGCGAUCGUGAGGAUAGUGCCACAGAAAGAUACCGCCAGAAUUAGGGACUGGGGACUGGGGAUUGGGGACUGGGUGAGAAAUUGCCCAAUCCCUAAUCCCUGAUCCCCAAUCCCUAGAUUUGGUAAGGGUGCAAAGGUGCGGUAAGAGCGCACCAGCAACGUCGAGAGGCGUUGGCUCGGUAAACCCCGGUUGGGAGCAAGGCCGUAGGAAUUAUGGUUGGUCUUUUACCAGUUCCGCUUAAAAAGAGCCGCUAGAGGCGUUUGGUAACAAACGUCCCAGAUAGAUAACCGCCUUCUUGUAGAGCAAUCUACACAGAAAACAGAACCCGGCUUACUACCAACUCUCUCCU